UCCACAGCCUGCUCACGGGCAAAUAGCAUGCUGGCGAUUUAGAAGCUACUCCUUGAUGCCAAAGUAUUGAUUUAGGCAACAACACUUCCAUCUAUGGGAAAGGGAAAAAGAGACAAGAAGAAGGCUGAAGAUGCAGAAUAGAAAGGAUGAGCCUUAUUCUGGAGCUUGUCACAUCACAUCAGUGUUGCUACUUAGGUGAUUAAAAAGAAGCAGCGGGAUCUUGGAGAAAACGUCUGACAAAAGAACUUGAUGUGCACCUGGUGACUCAUUCGUCUUGUGGCUGCCUCUGGAUUCGUGAGUUUGGUGCCUAGAAAGAAAUAACCAACAAAUCAAAGUCUAUUUCUUUGAUGCACAUGUUGGCACCCUUUGAAAGAUCCAGAAAUCCACAUAUUGAACAUGAAUCUAGGGCUGCGAUUGCUGCAAAGGUAUCUUCCACAACUUGAUUUUCUAUAAUAUCAAUU